GGUGGGUUGGCGCACUGGUUAGAGCGUAGGUCUCGUAACCGAAAGGUUGCGGGAUCGAAUCCCGCUAGAGGCUG
rnacentral:tRNA from 1 species